CAGAGUGCAGCUUGGAACUGAAUCAAGGCCCAGAGCUUGCAAGUGCUACUGGGAAAAGAAGGAUUUCCAUACCAUUUUACCCCAGAAUCUGUCAGACUACAGUAAAGACACAGAGGUAGCUGUGGGAUCUUCUGCAAGCAAAUGAGAAAACCAGCUGUGGAGACAGGUGGCCAACAUGGAUGGCAGAAAAAGUAGUGGAAGGGCAGAACCAAUGAAUUUUCAUUAUUGUUGGAACUCUGUUUUGUCUCCUGUUCAUUCUUUCCUCUCCAUAUCUCUUCCCAUCCCCACUGAGCAAAAGAGAGCUGUGCCAGUCUGGAGCUGUAGGUGCUCAAAUGGGGGAACACUGCAGUGCAGAUGCCAAGCACAUUUUGUGGCAGCUCUGGUCUCCCUGGCUUUUCUCCAGCAGAGGCUCUGGUUUGGUUUUCUUCUCUCCUAUCAAACUGCUGCCUUCCAGGCAAGUUGGAGACUUCUCCCUUUCACACCUGACUUGCAAUGGCCAAUGUCCUCAAAAGAUAUAGGAGGAAAAUAGACACAUGGACGAUGUGAUGCCCUAGGUGUCAUAUUCUUCAGGGAAGAAAAACAAAGAGAAGAUACUGAUAGUCUGUCUAAGGAGUGGGCGGGGCAAGUGUAAAUCUCACCAUUUAUUUUGCAUUGCCUACCUAGCAAAACUCUUACUCUUACUUCCACACUUUCAUCUCAGCCUAUGAAAGGAUGCACAAUAACAUUGUGUGUGCUUCACUAUGAUUCAUGUGAAACUUGAGUAUUUUCCAAUUUCCAUAACAGGAAUAUGGAAAAAACUAAUUCUGCUGAAUUUCUGCUCGCACUCCCUGUUUAUUAAAAGUCCCUGCUUUGUGGCACACUCAGCAAUUUAGUGAGAAAACACUGGGGUUAACUUCAAAAACCUGUUUGAGAAAUGUGAGGUAACCCUGGUGGUUCCCAGAACCAGUGGGAGGGAGGAACAAAGUGGAAACACAGAGGAAAACAACAGGCAACAGGCACAUGAAUUAUGCAGAUACACAACUGCAAGUACAUAACUGAAGGAAAGGAUAAGGUUGUCCAGAGACUUGAGGAUAAAACUGUUCCUGUAUGAUAUAUCUCACCUGCUUAGCAUUCAUAGAGCCAUGGCCCAACUAUCUGCAGUCUUAUCAGAAAAAAAACCAAACCCACUGCACUCUGCAGCUGAGUUUCCGUGAAUGUACCUUUGCUCUAGUAUGUAAGAACAAGUAACCAGCAUCCUCUUGAAUUCCUCUGCUUGAGGAGAACAGCAACAAGUCAGUCAAGACCUCAUUGGGCCAUAGACUGUUUUUUUCUCCUCUGAGCCUGUAGUGAAUUCAAGAUGCAGAAACUACAUCUGAGUGAAUGAAUUACAAAGCCAGCUGAUGAAUUCUUGUUGUCUUUUGUUUUUUGCAUAAAACAAAUGGUUCAGGGCCUUUUCAAAGAACGUACUAACAAUUUAUCUUAAAAAAGGGGGGGAAAAAAGUCAGCUUGAGAAUUGGCUUUCAUCUUCUGCCCCUAAAGUUUAGGCAGUGCUGCAGUGACACAUAUGCUGAUUUGUCAGCCCAAGGAAUUUGUCUCCGCAACCAGGCUUUA